GUGCUCACUUCGGCAGCACAUAUACUAAAACUGGAAUAAUGCAGAGAAAAUUAACAUGGCCCUGUGCAAGGUUGACAUGCAAAUUCAUGAAGAUUUCCAGAUUAAA
rnacentral:snRNA from 1 species